rnacentral:tRNA from 1 species
GCCUUCGUGGUGUAAUGGUUAGCACACUAGUUGCGUAUUCGAGAGGUCCAGAUUCGAGUCCUGGCGAGGACA